rnacentral:rRNA from 1 species
GUGAGUCAUCGAGUCUUUGAACGCACAUUGCGCCCUUUGGUAUUCCAAAGGGCAUGCCUGUUUGAGCGUCAUUUCUCUCUCAAACCCUUGGGUUUGGUAUUGAGUGAUACUCUUAGUCUUACUAGGCGUUUGCUUGAAAAGUAUCGGCAAGAGUGUACUGGAUAGUACUACUGGUUAUUCAAUGUAUUAGGUUUAUCCAACUCGUUGAAGGACUGGGCGUAAAUUUCUGGUGACUGGCUCGGCCUUACAACAACAAACAAGUUUGACCUCAAAUCAGGUAAGAUUACCCGCUGAACUUAA